rnacentral:tRNA from 1 species
GGAGAGGUGGCUGAGCGGUUGAAAGCACUGGUCUUGAAAACCAGCGUGCCUUUACGGGCACCGAGGGUUCGAAUCCCUCCCUCUCCGCCA